rnacentral:rRNA from 1 species
GCAUAUCAAUAAGCGGAGGAAAAGAAACCAACCGGGAUUGCCUCAGUAACGGCGAGUGAAGCGGCAAGAGCUCAAAUUUGAAAGCUGGCCCCUUCGGGGUCCGCGUUGUAAUUUGCAGAGGAUGCUUCGGGUGCGGCCCCUGUCUAAGUGCCCUGGAACGGGCCGUCAGAGAGGGUGAGAAUCCCGUCUUGGGCAGGGUGCCCGUGCCCGUGUGAAGCUCCUUCGACGAGUCGAGUUGUUUGGGAAUGCAGCUCUAAAUGGGUGGUAAAUUUCAUCUAAAGCUAAAUACCGGCCGGAGACCGAUAGCGCACAAGUAGAGUGAUCGAAAGAUGAAAAGCACUUUGAAAAGAGAGUUAAACAGCACGUGAAAUUGUUGAAAGGGAAGCGCUUGCGACCAGACUCGGCCCCGGGGUUCAGCCAGCACUCGUGCUGGUGUACUUCCCCGGGGGCGGGCCAGCGUCGGUUUGGGCGGCCGGUCAAAGGCCCCAGGAAUGUAUCGCCCUCCGGGGUUGUCUUAUAGCCUGGGGUGCAAUGCGGCCAGCCCGGACCGAGGAACGCGCUUCGGCACGGACGCUGGCGUAAUGGUCGCAAACGACCCGUCUUGAAACACGGACCAAGGAGUCUAACAUCUACGCGAGUGUUCGGGUGUCAAACCCGUACGCGCAGUGAAAGCGAACGGAGGUGGGAGCCCCCCCGGGGCGCACCAUCGACCGAUCCUGAUGUCUUCGGAUGGAUUUGAGUAAGAGCGUAGCUGUGGGGACCCGAAAGAUGGUGAACUAUGCCUGAAUAGGGCGAAGCCAGAGGAAACUCUGGUGGAGGCUCGCAGCGGUUCUGACGUGCAAAUCGAUCGUCAAAUUUGGGUAUAGGGGCGAAAGACUAAUCGAACCAUUUGGUAGCUGGUUCC